AUAAACAUCUACCCUAUACUAAAAGCAGGAUAUGGAGUGUUUUUAACAUGUCCACGUCGACAGAUUUAAUUGUCCAAUCAAAAUAUUUGAAUAAUACACGUAGGAUGUGCUCUGUAAAAUGUUGAUUUCAUAUGGGCUAUGAUCUGUUCGGAUGGGCUUCAUCUAGCAAUGGGCUAAGCUAUCUGGUUCAAUUAAAAAAAAAAAUCCCAAUACGGACAACACGAUGAACAACGCUACUCUCCUCUAUCUCUUCGUCUUCACGAGUUCUUCUCUAUCGUUUCACUUCUCUCUGUUUUCAUCUCCACAAUCAAUACUCCAUUACUUCUCGAUCCAUCAAUCUCUUCUUUAUGAUUUCGAUUCCGUUUACUCUUUCCCUGCUACCUUAUAUACUGAUUUACUCUCCAGAUUGCAAACCAAACCCUAAAAUUCUCUAACCUCAAUUCGCGAUGAAACCACAUGGAAAAUCCCCUAUCACCUCCGAUUAUGAUGAAAAGGUGAUGUUCUUCCGCGAUGUCUCACCGGGUCCUCAUGAAACCCAGCUGCGUUUCCGCUUGAUUCAUCUCUGGGAGGCUUGGAACCCUGUCAAGAAAAUGCUUAUUGGCCUUGAGAUGCUUCUAAUCGACGAACAGGUACUUGAUUUCACUAAACCUAUUUAUUUAGAUUCGUUGUUAUUUAGAUCGUUAUUUAGAUCUCGCUUAUAUUUAGUAAAAUAGGAAGAAAACUGAUCGUUGAUAUGUGAAAUCUCCAAUUUUGUUUAUGUAUCUACUAAAUUAAAAAUGUUUAUUAUAUCUAUAUGGAUAUUCACUGAAAAUAUGUGAUGUUGCGAUGAGUAGUUUGAUUGAUGAAAUCAGCUUGGUCUGAUCUGUAAAUACAAAUUAUUUGGUCGUCUGUCAAUUAUUACAAAUCUCUUAACAAAACAAAGUUCCAAUUUGUUGUGGGGUUGGAUGAUUAAGAAAAAGUAGUCGCUGGUGAUUCACUUAAGGUGUUAGUCCUGUAUUAAAAAGCUGUAACUUUUGUGUGCUGAUGUAAUCUUUUAGUUGCAGGUUGUUAAUUUUAGAACAGAAUUGUAAAAAACUCUUUUAUUUGGUUUCUGUAUAGUGAUGGAAAAUAUUUGAUGCCAGUUACUUUGUGUCUCAGUAAGCAAGCUACUAGAUAGUUUCUAUCAUAGUUUGCUGCAAGAUGACCAUAAUUACGGCCAGGGCCAGCGAAGCACAAGAACAUAUUAGAGCUAGAGUUCUUUGAAAAGCUAUUUGUUCAUUACCUUACAAAAAUUCCUGAUUGGUGGCUGCGGUUUACUAUCUUCUAUGUUUCUGUUUACAGUUAAUCACAUGUAAGACACAAAGUAAAGGUCCGCAGAAAAAUACGAUAUCCUGAACUUCAGAAAUAGUACGAAAAGGUUCACAACUACUCAUCAGAAAUCCAGGUUAGACCGCAUCUCCUUCUCUGUUUGCAAUGUAACCUCUCAUAUUAUAUUUUUGGUUUUGAUUUCAUGUCAAAUAUACAUUUCUGAGUUUUGAAGGAAAUUGGUAAAUAUGAUUAGGAGAGUAAAGUAUUUCGAGAUCCAACCAGAGAGCCACGGACCGUUUUCUAUGGUGUGGCUCUGCCGAUGGAAAUCUUGUGGUCAUUUUCCCAUGUGUAAGCUUUCAUGUAUUUGGUGAAAAUAUGCGCUUUGGUGGACUCUUUUGCUGCAAAACGGUGGGGUUUUUAAGAUUGCUUGGAACAUGUCAAGAAACCUUUUGUUAUUGACUACUAGAUUUUAUGAGGGUUUAAAAUUCUAAUCUUUUCCUGCAGAGUGCUAUCUUUAUAUUAAUAUUAAGAUGCCAAAAGAACUGAUUUUCCCUGUCUUAUAUAGGCUAAUGGAGACGGUAACGGAACAAUGCACAUCAACAUACUCGAUAGUUAAAGUGAAAGAAUAAAUAAGAACGAGGACAUGCUAGGCGGAUCAAAAGCACCACCAAUGGCCAAGCAAAACGCUACGUCUGGUACUCUUGCAAGUAGGGAGUUCUAUAAAGAAUCUUCUCAGCCUUCCAACGUUUUGAAAAAGACAACAGUGGAUAUAUCACAAUGGAAGCGCUGGAGCAGUCCCUGAGGGACACUAAUGGUGGAAGAGACCUUAAUGAAAUUAUUUCUGAAGUUGAUGGAGAAAAAUAGUUUCAAAGAAGGGGAGCUUCGCCACUUCUUCCUCUUUGUGUCACAUCUAUAGAAACGUCUGUUUCGUUCCAUUUCAGGCUCCUCUGCGGCUUCUCGGUGGCAUUUCCAACUUCAUACAUUUUACACAUGGGAUGCUAACAAGUAACAACUUGCUAUCGUAAAUAAGGAUGAUAAAAGACAUAAACAUGGAGAAAAUACACUUUGUAUUAUGAGAGAACUGCAUCAGUUUAAAAUAUUGUAAUUGUCGAGUGGGAGAACGGAGUACUGAAUUAAUUUACACACUGUAUUAGCAGCCCUUGACCACUAA